GCAGGAACUUCCUGGUGUGGCAGGAGAGCAACAAGUAACUGGACAAAGAAAGGAAGGCAGUCAUCAUUUGGUCAAACCAGAGCCAGCACCAGGAGCAGAAAUAUUUUGCAUGACAGAAGAGGAGGAGAAAAACUUUCCAUUUGCUGUGCCACAGUGGAACAGAGAGUUUUACUUCCCUAUACUUCUCCACUACGGACAGAAUAUAUCC